UACGGGGGGGGCAAGCGUUGUUCGGAAUUACUGGGCGUAAAGCGCGCGUAGGCGGCUUUGUAAGUUAGAGGUGAAAGCCCGGAGCUCAACUCCGGAACUGCCUUUAAAACUGCAUCGCUUGAAUCCAGGAGAGGUGAGUGGAAUUCCGAGUGUAGAGGUGAAAUUCGUAGAUAUUCGGAAGAACACCAGUGGCGAAGGCGGCUCACUGGACUGGUAUUGACGCUGAGGUGGCGAAAGCGUGGGGAGCAAACAGG
rnacentral:rRNA from 1 species